rnacentral:rRNA from 1 species
AUGCGGAACCCCUCCAAAACGAGCGGACGACACGGAACCGGCUCUCUUCUCGCACGCCCAGCCCUAUCGCCUCUCCUCGCUGCGCCGCCUCCCCCUCCACAUGAGGGAAGCAGGCCGUCCUUUCUCUCGAUCUGGAGCUGCGUGGCGGUAGUUUUGUCAGAGGGGUUGCAGCGGGGCGGCGGUGUAGGCGUGAUUCCGGCGAGCUAACAACGGCGGUAGAGGCUCCUCUCCUCAAGAUUUUGUUGCUGCAACCUCUACAAUCUACCUCAUACAUUGGUCAAGCGUGCUGCUGCUGCUCCAAGGCAGGAUGCCACACUGAAGCCAAAUGCACAAAUUAUCCCAAAGAAGGCAGCAUACAUUUGUUCAGAUCAAAUCAGCUCAGAGUUAGCCAAUACCGAAUCAGUGUUUUUCUUUACCUUUGGCGUCAUGUACACAGAAAAGAAAACGCCUACGAAGAUCCUGAUUGCCGCUGUGAAGUAUUAUGGUGUAUGUUUGUAUAUUCACACGGAAAAUGAACUUGCUAUAUUAUGAUAUUGUUGUCGAAAAUUGUGUUCUGUGUAAU